UACAGGGGGGGCAAGCGUUGUUCGGAAUUACGGGGCGUAAAGGGUCUGUAGGUGGCUUGCUAAGUCAGACGUGAAAGCCCCCAGCUCAACUGGGGAAGUGCCUCGGAUACUGGAUGGCUCGAGGGAGGUAGGGGCAGGGGGAACUUCUGGUGGAGCGGUGAAAUGCGUUGAUAUCAGAAGGAACGCCGGUGGCGAAAGCGCCCUGCUGGAUCUCUACUGACGCUGAGGCGCGAAAGCCAGGGGAGCGAACGGG
rnacentral:rRNA from 1 species